rnacentral:rRNA from 1 species
GGGGGGCAGCAGGCGCGAAAACUCCGCAAUGCGGGAAACCGUGACGGGGCCACCCCGAGUGCCGCCCGAAGAGGGCGGCUUUUGCCCGGUGCAAAAAGCCGGGCGAAUAAGCGGGGGGCAAGUCUGGUGUCAGCCGCCGCGGUAAUACCAGCUCCGCGAGUGGUCGGGGUGCUUACUGGGCCUAAAGCGCCCGUAGCCGGCCCGGUAAGUCGUCCCUGAAAUCCACGGGCUCAACCCGUGGGCUGGGGACGAUACUGCCGGGCUUGGGGGCGGGAGAGGCCGAGGGUACUCCCGGGGUAGGGGCGAAAUCCGAUAAUCCCGGGAGGACCACCAGUGGCGAAGGCGCUCGGCUGGAACGCGCCCGACGGUGAGGGGCGAAAGCUGGGGGAGCAAAGGGGAUUAGAUACCCCUGUAGUCCCAGCUGUAAACGAUGCGGGCUAGCUGUUGGGCGGGCUUAGAGCCCGCCCAGUGGCGGAGGGAAGCCGUUAAGCCCGCCGCCUGGGGAGUACGGCCGCAAGGCUGAAACUUAAAGGAAUUGGCGGGGGGGCACCACAAGGGGUGAAGCUUGCGGCUUAAUUGGAGUCAACGCCGGAAACCUUACCCGGGGCGACAGCAGGAUGAUGGCCAGGCUAACGACCUUGCCGGACGAGCUGAGAGGAGGUGCAUGGCCGUCGUCAGCUCGUGCCGUGAGGUGUCCGGUUAAGUCCGGCAACGAGCGAGACCCCCACCCCUAGUUGCUACCCGAUCUUCGGGAUCGGGGGCACACUAGGGGGACUGCCGGCGUAAGCCGGAGGAAGGAGGGGGCCACGGCAGGUCAGUAUGCCCCGAAACCCCGGGGCUGCACGCGAGCUGCAAUGGCGGGGACAGCGGGAUCCGACCCCGAAAGGGGGAGGAAAUCCCGUAAACCCCGCCCCAGUAGGGAUCGAGGGCUGUAACUCGCCCUCGUGAACGUGGAAUCCCUAGUAACCGCGUGUCACCAACGCGCGGUGAAUACGUCCCUGCCCCUUGCACACACCGCCCGUCA